rnacentral:tRNA from 1 species
GGUCCGUUGGUGUAACGGUCAACACUACCUAUCCUGGCGCGCUGUCGUGCUGGACGCCGCAGAAUGGUAGAGCGGAAGUUACCGGUUCGAAUCCGGUACGGGCCA